rnacentral:tRNA from 1 species
GCCCGUUUGGUGAAAUUGGUAAACACGACAGACUUAAAAUCUGUUCCCGUAAGGGUUAUCGGUUCAAGUCCGAUAGUGGGCA